rnacentral:rRNA from 1 species
GAUGAACGCUGGCGGCGUGCCUAAUACAUGCAAGUCGAGCGAACGGACGAGAAGCUUGCUUCUCUGAUGUUAGCGGCGGACGGGUGAGUAACACGUGGAUAACCUACCUAUAAGACUGGGAUAACUUCGGGAAACCGGAGCUAAUACCGGAUAAUAUUUUGAACCGCAUGGUUCAAAAGUGAAAGACGGUCUUGCUGUCACUUAUAGAUGGAUCCGCGCUGCAUUAGCUAGUUGGUAAGGUAACGGCUUACCAAGGCAACGAUGCAUAGCCGACCUGAGAGAGUGAUCGGCCACACUGGAACUGAGACACGGUCCAGACUCCUACGGGAGGCAGCAGUAGGGAAUCUUCCGCAAUGGGCGAAAGCCUGACGGAGCAACGCCACGUGAGUGAUGAAGGUCUUCGGAUCGUAAAACUCUGUUAUUAGGGAAGAACAUAUGUGUAAGUAACUAUGCACAUCUUGACGGUACCUAAUCAGAAAGCCACGGCUAACUACGUG